rnacentral:rRNA from 1 species
AGAUUGAACGCUGGCGGCAUGCCUUACACAUGCAAGUCGAACGGCAGCACGGGAGCAAUCCUGGUGGCGAGUGGCGAACGGGUGAGUAAUACAUCGGAACGUGCCCAAUCGUGGGGGAUAACGCAGCGAAAGCUGUGCUAAUACCGCAUAAGAUCUACGGAUGAAAGCAGGGGAUCGCAAGACCUUGCGCGAAUGGAGCGGCCGAUGGCAGAUUAGGUAGUUGGUGAGGUAAAGGCUCACCAAGCCUUCGAUCUGUAGCUGGUCUGAGAGGACGACCAGCCACACUGGGACUGAGACACGGCCCAGACUCCGUACGGGAGGCAGCAGGUAGGGGGUAAUUUUGGAC